CCUACGGGGAGCAGCAGUGAGGAAUAUUGGUCAAUGGACGAGAGUCUGAACCAGCCAAGUCGCGUGAAGGAUGACUGCCCUAUGGGUUGUAAACUUCUUUUAUAAGGGAAUAAAACGAGGCACGUGUGCCUUUUUGCAUGUACUUUAUGAAUAAGGAUCGGCUAACUCCGUGCCAGCAGCCGCGGUAAUACGGAGGAUCCGAGCGUUAUCCGGAUUUAUUGGGUUUAAAGGGUGCGUAGAUGGGUUGUUAAGUCAGUUGUGAAAGUUUGAGGCUCAAACGUAAAAUUGCAUUUGAUACUGGCAGUCUUGAGUACAGUUGAGGUAGGCGGAAUUCGUGGUGUAGCGGUGAAAUGCUUAGAUAUCACGAAGAACCCCGAUUGCGAAGGCAGCUUACUAAACUGUGACUGACAUUGAGGCACGAAAGUGUGGGGAUCAAACAGGAUUAGAUACCCCUGUAGUC
rnacentral:rRNA from 1 species